rnacentral:rRNA from 1 species
AUACGUAGGGGGCGAGCGUUGUCCGGGUUUAUUGGGCGUAAAGGGUGCGUAGGUGGUUUCUUAAGUCAGAAGUGAAAGGCUAUGGCUUAACUGUGGUAAGCAUUUGAAACUGCAGGGCUUGAGUACAGGAGAGGAGAGUGGAAUUCCUAGUGUAGCGGUGAAAUGCGUAGAUAUUAGGAGGAAUACCAGUGGCGAAGGCGACUCUCUGGACUGAUACUGACGCUGAGGCACGAAAGCGUGGGGAGCAAACAGGAUUAGAUACCCUGGUAGUCCACGCUAUAAACGAUGAGUGCUAGGUGUCGGGGGUCAAACCUCGGUGCCGCAGUUAACACAUUAAGCACUCCGCCUGGGGAGUACGGCCGCAAGGCUGAAACUCAAAGGAAUUGACGGGG